rnacentral:lncRNA from 1 species
AUACUAUCUCACUUCGAUCCGAGGCAGUAUCAAACGCAAGGACCUUUUGAGUGUGCGGGCAGCAUCAUUUCACCCAGAUUUGUACUCACAUCAGCUCAUUGCCUCACGAAUGGGAAAUGUACUCCGACCCUAGUAAAAGUAUACUACAACACUACAGUGGUGGAAAGAGGUCCGUAUGUAGCAGCUAAAGACGUUUUCUACCAUCCCGACAAUGACAGCGUUUAUUGGUCUAAUGACAUUGCCUUGCUCAGGCUGGAAGAAUCUCUUCGCUUCGACCAAUAUGUUAAGCCUGUCUGCCUUGGCGAAAAAGGAGCGGUACAUACGCAUGACGAAGUGGCA